GGCCGGAGGCGGUGCCUGUGGGAGGGAAGGGGGCUGGUCAGGGGCUGCGGGCCUCCCCGCUCUGCAUAUCCCCGGCAGGUGCGGCGGCUGGUUGGUAUCGCCUCCUUACCCAUCCCCGCUCCGGCUUCUGUGUCUCUCAUCAAAGUCUCUUUUUCUCUGAAUAUUUGUACCCCCGCCUCUGCCCUUACUCCUUUGAGACUCUGGCCCCUCCAUUCUAAGUCUCUGCGCUCCCUCUGGGGUCUCUGUCCCCCUCCUCUGAGUCUUACCUCUAAGACUUACCUCUUGCUCUCUAAGCUUCAGUCUCCUCUCCCCGGACCAUGGCGGGGUCUCCCCACCCUCAAUGUCUUUCUCUUGGCCUCUGCCUUUUUCUGAUUUCUCUCUCUCUCUGGCCUCUUUCUCCUCUCUUGGGUUCCUGAACUCCUCUCUCUGGUCUCUUUUCCCUCCUGUCUGUGUCCUUCUUCUUUGUGUUCCUGUCCUCAAUACUCCCCUCGCCCCAGGGCCUCCCCCCUCCUCUCUCUGGGUCUCUGUCCCCCCAGCUCUUGUUCUCUGACCACCUCCUUCCCUGUGUCUUUUCCCCCUCCUCCGUCUCUUUUGCCCCUCUGUCACUGCCUUUUCUCUUUCUGUCCUCUCUCUCUUUUCCUCUCUUGGGUCUCUACCCCCUCCCACUUGUGCCUCUUUGACCCCUUUCUGAAUCUGUCCCCCUUUUUCUUGGUCCCCGCUUCUUUGGGGCUCUGUCCUGCUGUCCUUUGGCCUUUGUCCCUUUCCUGCAUCUCUGUCCCUCUCUUUCCGGCUCCCACUGCAUCACCCUCUCUAACCCUCACCCUGGCCAGGUCUCGAGGCUGCGUCACUGCAGAGUUGCAGAAGUGGGGCCCAUCCUGCGGACCUGGGAGGUAGUUUCCUUCGACUCUCCCACCCCCAGACCUAGGAUCCCCCACUACCCCCUGACCCAGUGUUCUCGGGCAGUCCUCAAGCUCCCAUGAGACCCGGGAGGACAUCGGGACUUCUACUCUUCUCUGCUCCAAAUUCCUGUGUAUCCCUAGGCAGAAGCUGUGAAUCCUGAGCAGCCAGGCACUGGAUCAAGUUACCAAAUCAGCGUUUUUGCAGAGGCCCCACCGGGGUAUGCGGGGAGAUUUAUGAGCCUGGAUUCUCCAUCCAUACGGAAGGCUUCUGACGGCAUAACGAGGGCUUGAGUUAUGGGACACCAGCUUGGCAAACAGACCAGAGGGAAGUGGACUCGAUUUUUGGCGACAGACACCAGGGGAGGGGAGGUCAAUGUCUGUUCACGUCUUCAAACCCUUUCCCCACCCCUCUUCCUUCCCAAUCUAUCCUUUCUCAGGCCUUCAAGACACAAAAUUCCUGAAAGCCCCAAACUCUCACCCUCGUCAUCCUUGGCGCCCCCUCCUAACUCUCCCUCUCUCAUUCCCCAAAGCCCUGGAAUUGUUUCUGACUUCCAAGACCCCUUCCUUGUUCCUCCGCCCACACUCCUACCAGAUCCAAAUCCAGGACGGACAGUCUACGCCGGGCACUAAGGUUGAAAAUGUGGGAGGGAACUCUCUGACUCUGAUCCUUGAUCCCUCCGAGAGACCCUCCAAGUACCUCUCCGCUGUAAUCUUUGAGUCCCCGUCUCCCUUGUCCCCCGCCUUCAAAACUGGGACUUGGGCUGUCUUACCACCCCCGGACCCUGAGCCUUCUCCCCCCACCCCUCCU